GUAUCGUUAUCGAAAGGUGAUGAGAAGGUAUCAGAGAAGUCAGCAGAGGCUAUAAUAUCCGCCAGGUAGCGGAGAAGGGC
rfam:Caldithrix sp. RBG_13_44_9 RBG_13_scaffold_845, whole genome shotgun sequence.